rnacentral:tRNA from 2 species
GGACUCUUAGCUCAACUGGUUAGAGCGCUACAUUCACAUUGUAGAGGUUGAAGGUUCGAGUCCUUCAGAGUCCA